CCUACGGGAGGCUGCAGUGGGGAAUAUUGGGCAAUGGGCGCAAGCCUGACCCAGCAACGCCGCGUGAAGGAAGAAGGCUUUCGGGUUGUAAACUUCUUUUCUCAGGGACGAAGAAAGUGACGGUACCUGAGGAAUAAGCCACGGCUAACUACGUGCCAGCAGCCGCGGUAAUACGUAGGUGGCAAGCGUUAUCCGGAUUUACUGGGUGUAAAGGGCGUGUAGGCGGGACUGCAAGUCAGAUGUGAAAACCACGGGCUCAACCUGUGGCCUGCAUUUGAAACUGUAGUUCUUGAGUACUGGAGAGGCAGACGGAAUUCCUAGUGUAGCGGUGAAAUGCGUAGAUAUUAGGCGGAACACCAGUGGCGAAGGCGGCCUGCUGGACGAUGACUGACGUUGAGGCUCGAAAGCGUGGGGAGCAAACAGGAUUAGAUACCCUGGUAGUC
rnacentral:rRNA from 1 species